rnacentral:rRNA from 1 species
UACGUAGGGUGCGAGCGUUACUCGGAAUUACUGGGCGUAAAGCGUGCGCAGGCGGUUCGUUGUGUCCGGUGUGAAAGCCCCGAGCUUAACUUGGGAAUGGCAUUGGAAACUGGCGAGCUGGAGUGUGGCAGAGGGGGGUGGAAUUCCACGUGUAGCAGUGAAAUGCGUAGAGAUGUGGAGGAACACCGAUGGCGAAGGCAGCCCCCUGGGCCAACACUGACGCUCAGGCACGAAAGCGUGGGGAGCAAACAGG